UACGUAGGGUGCGAGCGUUGUCCGGAAUUAUUGGGCGUAAAGAGCUCGUAGGCGGUUUGUCGCGUCUGCUGUGAAAACCUAAGGCUCAACCUUGGGCUUGCAGUGGGUACGGGCAGACUGGAGGUAUGCAGGGGGAGAACGGAAUUCCUGGUGUAGCGGUGAAAUGCGCAGAUAUCAGGAGGAACACCGGUGGCGAAGGCGGUUCUCUGGGCAUGUCCUGACGCUGAGGAGCGAAAGUGUGGGGAGCGAACAGG
rnacentral:rRNA from 1 species